GAUGAACGCUGGCGGCGUGCCUAAUACAUGCAAGUCGAGCGAACGGACGAGAAGCUUGCUUCUCUGAUGUUAGCGGCGGACGGGUGAGUAACACGUGGAUAACCUACCUAUAAGACUGGGAUAACUUCGGGAAACCGGAGCUAAUACCGGAUGAUACUUUCAACCGCAUGGUUCAAAAGUAAAAGACGCUCUUGCUGUCACUUAUAGAUGGAUCCGCGCUGCAUUAGCUAGUUGGUAAGGUAACGGCUGACCAAGGCAACGAUGCAUAGCCGACCUGAGAGGGUGAUCGGCCACACUGGAACUGAGACACGGUCCAGACUCCUACGGGAGGCAGCAGUAGGGAAUCUUCCGCAAUGGGCGAAAGCCUGACGGAGCAACGCCGCGUGAGUGAUGAAGGUCUUCGGAUCGUAAAACUCUGUUAUGAGGGAAGAACAUAUGUGUAAGAAACUGUGCACAUCUUGACGGUACCUAAUCAGAAAGCCACGGCUAACUACGUG
rnacentral:rRNA from 1 species